rnacentral:tRNA from 1 species
GCAUCGGUGGUUCAGUGGUAGAAUGCUUGCCUCCCACGCGGGCGCCCCGAGUUCGAUUCCCGGCCGAUGCA